CCCAUUGUUGAUUCAGAUUCAGUUUGAAACCUUCAAUUCAUCUUGCAAAUUCAGUGCUUGUUUCCUCGUUCUUGCUAGUUCUUCGAUUGCUUGCAGGACGGGAGCCCUAGGGGCUGGUUGUCGCGCUCCACAAGAUCGUGACGGCUGUUGGACGUGGUGUAUCGGUUGCUAAGGCGUGGUCUUGAUGGCUGUAGUCGGGCCGUGAACGUCAUCUCCAACCACUAAUCGAGUUAUCUAGCGCCUCUCAUCGAAAGAUCAGGCCAAAAACCCUAGCGGGUUCGCAUCAGUUGGUAAUCAGAGCAAGGUUCUUCGGUGAGAGACUUCUAAUCCUUUGCUGUUUUUAAUUAAUUUCCUAUAGUCCAGAAAAGCCAAAAAAAAAUAUAGUAGAUUAGUUUUUCCAUAAUCCUAUUAAACCUUUGUGCCUUGGCUAGUACCGUUUUAGUUAGGGCUUGUUGAAUUUGCUGGUCUUAGUGUCUAGUCCUUUAGAGUUUCGAGUUCUUGUCACCAUCUAUACACAGCCGAGUAUUACCAUAUCUUCUCUCUGUCGAAUCUGUUGUGAAGUCCGAAUUGAACUGUGAUCCAAAAAGAAAGAUAACUCCAUACUUGUUCGGCCUUACUCUAGAGAGAGAGAGAGAGAGAGAGAGAGUGUGUAGCGAAUUGCUCUUUUGUAUUCCUUUGUUCAUAUAAUCAGUUUUUGAGGUUGCCCAAAAAAAAAGAAAAAAAAAGAAAAGAGAAAAGAUUCAAAAGAAAAAAAAGGGGCUGUUUUUCAUAUUGAUUUUAGGUUUCUUCCACCUUGUUUUCGGGGGUGUGCUGUGGUUUUCCUUUGUGUCCAGGCUCGCGUCUCUAGCACGGUCUAGCCUAGGACCAGCACAGUACCAUCGUCGAACGCUUAUUCAGCUCGCUUUUAUAACUAACGUGGUGCUAGUUCGUUCCUUGUUUCAGCCCACCUAUAGCUCCACAUACUCUACAGCUUGACAGGUCUUGUGCUACAGCACCGAUACACUUCGUCCAUUGCUGUACACUUGUUGGCAGAGGACCCCUCCUAUCAAGCAAGGUAAGAAUUGGUAAGAACUUG
rnacentral:lncRNA from 1 species